UGAGUCCUAUGUUGACCGUUUAUAAACCAAAGUUUUGAGCCAACAUUUUUUUAUCGGGAGCUUGUGUUUUCCCACAGCGUCCACGCCCUGAAAGAUAGGGGACGGAUAAAAUGGGGAACAAGGCACCCACCUGCGAGAGCAGGUUCAAAACUAAGGGGAGACGGCAUCUUUGGGGCUCAU
rnacentral:other from 1 species